AGUGAACGCUGGCGGUAGGCCUAACACAUGCAAGUCGAACGGCAGCACAGUAAGAGCUUGCUCUUACGGGUGGCGAGUGGCGGACGGGUGAAGAAUACAUCGGAAUCUACUUUUUCGUGGGGGAUAACGUAGGGAAACUUACGCUAAUACCGCAUACGACCUACGGGUGAAAGCAGGGGAUCUUCGGACCUUGCGCGAUUGAAUGAGCCGAUGUCGGAUUAGCUAGUUGGCGGGGUAAAGGCCCACCAAGGCGACGAUCCGUAGCUGGUCUGAGAGGAUGAUCAGCCACACUGGAACUGAGACACGGUCCAGACUCCUACGGGAGGCAGCAGUGGGGAAUAUUGGACAAUGGGCGCAAGCCUGAUCCAGCCAUACCGCGUGGGUGAAGAAGGCCUUCGGGUUGUAAAGCCCUUUUGUUGGGAAAGAAAAGCAGCAGGUUAAUACCCCGCUGUUCUGACGGUACCCAAAGAAUAAGCAUCGGCUAACUUCGUG
rnacentral:rRNA from 1 species